AAUCACUAAAAAGCACCUAGACUUAUGGCUGUCGUUGAAUCACUGACGUGCUGUUGGGUGCUGGACCAGGAGGGGAGGCUGUUGUAAAUGUGCGCUCGUUUCUUUGUUCAAAUCUCUGUGUGUUGUGUAGAGUGAGUGGUCUAUGCACACAUGUAUGUGAGUGCAGACGUCCAUACACUCACAUGGUAAGGCUAACAGAGAACACUGGGCAUCUUCCUUCUCCAUCUCCUCUUUGUUCCCUUGAGACACCGUUUCUCACUGAACCUCAAGCUCGCCAUUUUGGUUCUACUGUGGGCCGGUGAGCUUCCGGGAUGCACCUGUCUCCACCCUGUAGUGCGGAACCAUGCCUAGCGUGUACAUGGGUGCUGGGGAUUUUAGCCUUAGCCCUCAUGCAUGUAGAGCAAGCACUUCAGUCACCACGUCAACUCUCCAGCCCAUAAACGUGUUAAUGACUCGCUCCCAGACUUUCUGGGAGAUUCUUCAUUGGCCCGUGUUUGAAUCUGUGCUGCUGAUUCCAUGAAGCAGAUUAGAAGGAGAACAGAGCCAAGUGCAUGUGCACUUGAGAUGAGGGGUGCUUGUGACUCUCAACGUGAGCUUGGAGUCCUUCCUCUGCCAUUUAUUAAGUGGCAAUGUGGCAGUAUUCACAGUAGAGUCGAAAAUCUCAUGCUGGACCCCAAACGGUGCUUUCCACGUGGAAGAAUAAUGUGCAAAGACAAGGAAGCACUUAGGAACUUUAUGGCAAUUUGACAGUCAUGAAACCUGAGUGCAAAAAAAUUCAUAUUUUACAAUAAUAUAAGUGACAGUUCGAGAAAUUAUUAAAAGCUCCAAUCUAUACUGUCCCAAAGCAUUUUACAUUUUUUCCCAGGGCAGACAUCUUAAGACUUUUAUAUGCAUUGUAAAAAGACACCACUUCAUGUUAUAAAGAGUUACAUUUAACAUAAAAAAUAAAAAUAUAUCGUGUCUAUCAGAAUUAUGAACACCUUAACUCAGCUUAAUCUGGUAGGGUGCAAGAAGGAAAGGUAUUUGAUGUUGGGUGAUCACGAGACCUAGGCAUGGUGAUUCACACGUGUCAUCCCAGCGCUUGGGAAGUGGAGGCAGGGGCAUCAGGAGUUCAGGAUCAUCUUUAGCUACAUAGAGACUUUAAGGACAGCCUGGGCUACUUGCAAACUUUCAUCCAAAAAUAGUAUUGCAUAUUAAUACAUAAAAAAUUAGGAUUGAAUGAAGAGCUGCACUACGAAAAAUUGUAAUGUAUGAGGAACUCUCUAAUGACUCUUGGUUACUUUAUUGCUCUUUAUCAUUAUACUGUCUCAGUGGAAAUAAGUACAUAUAUGUUACAUAUACAGGCACACAUAUGUAUAUUAAUUACUAUUCUGGGUCUCAACAGUUACUACCGUAGCUAAUCUGUGAUUGAAAUCCUUCAGGGGGUUUGGAGAUUUGGCUUCUAAACUCUGUAAAACAGAGUGACGUUACAUAGACAAGAAAAUGCGAGCAAACGGAGAGAUAUUUCGGUGGAGUACAUGGGGCUUUUACCUGAUUUGGUUGUUUGGAGAGAAUGAGGAAAAAACAGGAAGAACCUUCCUGAGGAUGCUUGGAUGAUGCAGAAAUUGCAAAGGCAAACCAUUGGUUAAUCAGUGUGUGUGUGUGUAUGUGUGUAUGUGUGUGUGCGUGUGCGUGUGUGCGUGUGUGUGUGUGUGUGUGUGUGAGAGAGAGAGAGAGAGAGAGACAGACAGACAGACAGACAGACAGACAGAGUAAGUAUUUAGUGAAGCCUGUGCCUUGACUUGGUUAGUUUCCAUUCAGAACAUCCCCUGGGAACUGACUACAUCACAAUCCACUUGGAGACAUAUGGUGUUGUUAAGAAAAGCAGUAACAGUUUUCUUCUCGGCAUGGAAGCUGUCUUUGCAUUUUAGGAGAAAUACUGUGGGCUUUUUUCUUCCCUUUUAGUAUAAAUAGACAUCUUAGGACAUUCUGCCCUGAACUGUCAUUGAAUAGAGGAGGCCUGUGUGCCUGUGUGUGUGCGUGUGUGUAUGUGUGUGUGUGUGUGUGUGUGUGUGUGUGCGCACGUGUGUGGUGUUCUUUAUUGAAACAGUCUCCUGAUGCAAUUUGGUGAGAUUGCCUGGUUAAUGUCUCCAGGGAUCCACUUGUCUCCCCCUUCUUGAGCUAGGAUUAUAGACACACACCACCAUGCAUGAUUUUUUACAUGCAUACUGGGUGUCUGACCUCAGGUCCUUGUACCUGCAUGGCAAGCUCUGUAUGGACUGAACCAUCUUCAGUCUCUCCAUUUUUCCUCACCUCAAUCCGAGUUUACCCAACAGAUGUCUACGUACACCAAAGGCAUUGGACUAGGUGUGAAUCACAUGACUAUGUUAAAAGGUUAAACAAUGGAAAACAGUCAUUAAUUAAAUUUUGAGCACAGAUUUUAACACUAUAGGCAUCUUCCUUGGAGAAUUCAAAGGCAUGCUAAAAUCCAUCUCGUCCGGACAGGUUUGGAAAUGUUUUGUUUGGUUUUUCCCGAAUGUACAGGUAAUUAAAACAAUUUAAUGCCAAAUACAAAGAGAGUACCAAAUGUCCCAGCAUCCUCCCUGUGUACACAGGCAGGGAUAAGCACCUUUUUAAUAUCAUAGCUACACCCAAUGGAAGCAUGCGGCAUAGCAAGAAUUUGCUUAUGAGUUUUUCGGCCCCUUGUUAUCUCAUGGGAGCAAGAAAACCAAAGCUUGGUUCAGUUACAAAACACUUAGAGAUGGAACUUCAUGCUUCAGAGGCCUUCUUUUGGUACAAGAGAAAUAAAUAUCCUAUGCUGGUCACUGGGAGUUCACAAAUUUGUUUUAUUUAUGCACAAUUCUGGAAGUCAGAUAGAGUUUCAUAAAAGCUUCAUAUGCUAACUGAAGAUGUUAAAACUCAGAUAUGUAGAUCUGAUGUGAAAGACAAGAGAACCUUGUAAGAGAUGGGUUUUCAGUCCGAUGGCAUGAUAGAAAAAUGUCCCCAUAGGAUACAAUGUGGAUACCGAGGCAGGUAGGAUCAGAUUGGGCCUGUGGUGCCUACUUGAACUGAUGCUUAUAGAUUUAUGUUGAUACAUUUGAAAUACUGCUUUCGAAACUCACAUUGUUUAAAAUGCUGUGUGCGUGUGGGUGUGCCUGUAUGUGUGCACACGAAUGAGUUGCCUUCAGGUCAUGGUGUACAUGAGUGGAGCGGGGGCAGUUUAGCAGACAGCCUCUGCAGUUAAGCCUUCCUUGCCUUCUAUCUUGUUUGACUGGGUCUCUUGUUUGUGGCCGUGUGGUCUAAACUAGCUAGGAUGUGAGGUUCUCGGUAUCCUGUCUCUCCCUCCCAUCAUGUUGUAGACAAAUUGUGACCUCAGACAUUCAUGCUACUCUAUUCUGUCUUCACGUGGGUUCUGGGGGUUUGAACUUGGGUCCUCACGCUUACAUGGUAAGCUCUUUACACAUGAGCCUGAUAGCCCAGAAACUCGUCUCUUAAUCAAGUUUUCUCUUCCCUUACAAAGUGUUCAAGGUUACUAGAAGCUAUUAUACAUAGGACAACCUCAGAUCCACCAGUGGUAUAAAUAACGACACAGAGGCUUAUUAAUGUUUUAAACCUAAGGCCUCUCAGCUUGAGCUACCUCUCAGCUAUCCUAACCUGACUAAUCCUGGCACCACGCCCUACCACAGGACCAGGUCUACCCCCCUGCUCCUUCUAUUUUCGUGUCUGCUGGCUGAAUCAUUGACCCUUGGUUCUUCUCCCAGAGGCCCUAUCUCUGCCCGGAAGUUCUGCCUUCCACUUCCUGUCCGGCGAUUGGCCAAUCAGAUACAAUCCUGGACUGCCUUAGGAAGGUAAGGAAGGAACAAAUUGUUACAAAAUAGGAGGCUGGUGAUGGACCUUUAGCCCUCUGCCAGUACAGAAUUAGCAACUGAGUUUACAGAGACCUUUACAUUGUAUAUCCAAACACGUAUAGCACAGGCAAGAGUGUCCUCAGUUUCUUUUACAAAAGAUUUAUUAUUUUGAUUUAUGUAUGUGUGUUUGCUAAUCUGUAUAUGCAGGUGUGUGUGUAUGUGGGGUGUGUGUGUGUGUGUGUGUGUCUGUCUGUCUGUCUGUCUGUCUGUCUGUCUGACAGAAGCAAGGGAAGUUGCUGGAUCCCUUAGUGUGGGAGUUACAAGGAACGGUGAGCCAACGUGAGUAUGAGGGUCUGAACUUAGGUCCUCUAGAAGAACAGUGCUUGUAAUCACUGAGCCUCUAUCUAGCCCGUUUCCUUUAAUUAACCAGUUUUCUAACUCUUUUCGACAGAACACUUGAGAGAGCCUGUCCUCCUGGUGGACACACUAAUAAUUUUUAAAAACAACAUUAAUUGAUCGACUUUACUUGAAACAAAACUAGGGCACACAACAAUGCAAAUUUGAAGAGCAGGAUGUAGAUGCCAAGUUUUGAUCAUCCCAGCUUUCUCCAUAUAGCUAGGCUCCUCCCAUUGAUUAAUAAAAUGUCUAAUGUGAGUGUAUUAUGCACUGUUUCAUUCACACCUAUUAGAGAAUCCCCAAAUGGCUCAAAUGGAUCAGGAAAAGGGAAGAAAAAUGGGGGUGGGGAAGCAGAUAAAGAUAGAUAUGUAUGGAUAGAUAAGUAUAAGUAUAGAUAAAUGAUAGAUGAUAGAUAGAUAGAUAGAUAGAUAGAUAUGAUAUGUAGAUAGGUGCUUGGUAGAUGAUAGACAUAUAUAGGAAGAUGAUAGGAAGGCAGAUAGCUGAUCAAUAUAAAUCUAGGUAGGUGGAUAGAUAGAUGCCAACAUCAAAUGAUAGAGCAUUAGGAUGCCUGGUCAAGGAAGCUAAAAAGAUUCAACAUCAUUGUGACCACUAACAUAGCAAGGUGAGGUCAGCCUCCCAUGUUGAACAGGGCCAGCCAUUUGAGCAUCACAUCAAUACUACUAGCAGAAAGAGAUCCCGCAAUACACACUCCUUCCCCUAAAGAGCAAAGAUAACAUAGUGUUCCAUAAAUGUUGCAUGUCCUAUGUAUCGAUCUCGAUGUUUCCUGGGCAAAAUAAAUGCUCAUUAGUUGCUUGCCUGCCUCACCCCAGAUAUGUCUCUGUCUUGUAAUGAAUUACACAGCUAUGUUGGGCAGCCCCCAAAGCAUUCCAUUUUCAAUGAGCUGGCAAAAGCAACACGAAGUUCCCAGAUACUCCAGGGUCCUGUAGGAUAUGAACUCAAAAGGGUCCCUUCCACAGAGGCCCUGGAGCGGUGUUGAGCCACAGUGUGGAAAGGCUUCCUUGUGUAAGGACACAUAUUGACGAGCACAAGCUGUGUGCUGCAUUGGAAGAAAAUGAAUCAUAUUCUACUCUCAGACGAGACUUCUGCCUGUGAGCACAUAUUUAUGUCGGCAAAGCUGUCUUUCUGGAGAGGACGGAUAAUCCAUUUCUUCUAUUAAGAUUUUCUUAUUCUUAGAUAAUUGCUCCUAAUCCCAACUGAACUCCGGGAGAUUCAGGAGAGCUGAAAGAGCUUGCCGUAUUACAGAAUCCUUUCCAUUUUAACAGGUUUGUCCACAACAGCAAUUUGGAUCAGCUAAGAAGCAGAGAAAUCCUGUCUUCAGUGACAUAAAACUCGUUUAUCCUUUAACUUCUUGACAUGUUGGCAUAGUAAAUUCAUUGUUUCAUUUUUCUUGAAAUAAGUAACAAUAUAAAUAACAAUGUGUCAAUUAUGAAUGUAUAGGAACACAAUUUUCUAAAGGUGUCUUUUCUUUCAUUAAAAGGGAAUAUGGAGCUGGUAGAUGGUUUAGUGCGCAAAGCUAAAUGAAUGACGAGCCCAUGGAUUUGAUCAUCAGGAGUUUACACACACACACACACACACACACACACACACACACACACACACACACACAAAGUCCAUUCAUAAAUGAAAAUAAAACCCAUAUGUAAAACAGACAUUGUAAAACAUUCAAAUUGGGCAUCAGUUUUAAUUUUAGAUAGUAAGUGGAUUUUAGGAAUACUUAAGAGGAGUUUUUUUUAUUGUUGUUGUUGUUUCAUUUUUCUUUAACUUUUUAAAAUUUGCAUGCAUAUCUGUGUCCCAUGUGCAAGCAAUGACUGUGGAAGGCAGAAGAGGGUAUGAGAUCCCCUAGAAUUGGAGUUAGAGAUGGUUGUGGCUGAUAUGUGGGUGAUAAGAGAGUGAACCUGGGUCCUCUGCAGGAUCACCCUUAACCACUGAGCCAUCUCUCCAUCCCUCAAAUCUUUUACUCUUUUCUCUUGAGAUGAAGUCUCUCAUCUCUCAGGCUGGCUGCUGGUCUGGAACUCAUGACAGAACCAGUAGUGAUGUGGACGUCCUGAUGCUGCCUGUUCUUCCCUCCGAGUGCUGAGAUCACAAAUGUCUGCAGAUCUGGGACAAGAACCCAGGGCUUUGUUCACUUGGAAAGCACUUAAGAACUCCAUUUUCACAGGAAUUCUCAGUUUCAGUUCUAUAUGGAUUGUUUGGUGAUUGACUUGGUCCAUCCUUUCUUAGCCCUCUAUGGGCUAAACUUAGCAAUGGUAAACAUGUCAUUGAUAGCUGAUUUAAAAUAGGAAGAAAAGAAAAGACAAGGGUAAUACAAUUGCAAACUGGAUAAUACAUUAGCUAGAAAAAUACACGGAUUUAUCUAGAAAGGAUCCCAAAGGAAAGGAGAAGCAGGAUCCUGUGCCUCAUGCCCAUCCCCUUCUGUCAUCAACACUUUUAGUUAAAGAUGUCAAUGGCCAUUGUAUCUCUAACAGAUCCCACCACGUAUUCACACUUAGUUUCUGCACUUCCCCACCUCAGAAUAAAAUUGGCCAGGAUUUGCUCAACCAACCCAGGCCUUAUACAAACCCUGGACAGUUGUCACCCUCUGGGAUAGCCCUACACUGGUGGGAUUGAUAGAUAAGAGCCUCACACAUACUAAGAAAGGACUGUGGGAUUAAGCAGUAACCCCAGUGGUAUUUUACUUUUUCAGUUUGAGGCAACAUCCCACGAAGUUGCCCAGAUUAACUUUGAACUUACUCUGUAGCCCAGGCAGCCCCUGAAUUUAUGCAACUUAACGACAAUAGAUUGAUUUCAACUGACAGUUCCAGGACACAGUCCAUCAUGACUGGGACGUCGGUUGAGAUGGCGGUAGCUUGAAGCAGCAGAUCACUUCACACUCACAGUCAGGAAGCAGAGAGUGGUGCACGCUGCUUCUCAGCUCACUUUUCCACUUACACAGACCAGGAUCCCAGCCAGGGAAUGGUGCCGCCCAUAGUGGACAUGUCUUCCCACCACUAUUAAUACUCAGCUAAUCCCCCAUAUGCAUACCCAGGGGCCCCUAUCCCAGGCCAUUCUAGACUGUACCACACAACGCUAACCAUCAUAACUUACUACAACCUUUCUUCCACUCUCUCAGGCCUUCCUGUUGGCUGGGUGUUGAGGCUUAUAACGCCAGGCUCAGAAAACAAAACAAAACAAAACAAAACAGAAAAGAAAACCAAAACUGAAACAAAACAAACAAAAACAAAAGGAGUAUCUCGAGAAAUACCCAGAAGUCCCUUGGCUUAUAUUUUUGUGUCUUGGCUCAAUGCCAUUGCUUUUCUUUACCAGAACAAUGCUACAAUGCUUAUUAUCAAUACAUUGUAAUAUUAUCAUAUAUAAAUUUUAGUUGCUAUAAUACUGCUAAAAUUCUAGUGGCUACACAUACACAGAGUAUGUGUGUACUCUGGCUAUUGCCUGAAGUUGGGGCAGAGAAGCUUAUGAGAGUCUCACACUCAUCUCUGAAACCAUGACCAUCCUUCAUUGCUUACUUCCAAAACAGUAACUGCAUUUAUGUUUGUGCACAUUUCUGGAUUGAAGGUUUGACAGUAAAACCUCCCCAAAUCAACAGUAAAUUGUUAAUUUGUUUCUAAGACAGUGUUGGGUUUUGCCUCCUGUCAGUGCCUCUAAUGAGUAAGCUAUUUAGUGUCUGCCCAAGGAUGGCUGAUUAGCAAGCAAAGAGAGUUGAGUGUCUUAAGAUCAAUUAAGGCACAAGACAGAGAAAGCAAACUGAAUAAUUAAGUGCUUGGUGCACUUCUACAUGUACUAUUUCAUUUGGUAGAUUUCAUUUAAAGCCAAUUCUAACCCAUUCCUGGAUAAAUGGUUAGCAUUCUGAAUUAAAUAUAUUCCGAUCUCUCCCAGCAACUGUCAAGAGGCCUGCCUUAUACCCAACUCAUUCUUUAAGAUCUCUCUUUCCUUUUUUUUUUUUAAACAAUGAAGUCUUCAAAGACAAUGCUUUAAGAAGACUGUGAAUGGGAAACUCAUUAGGCAGACUCUGCACCAGUCCUCAUUUGGUAUCUUAUUAUCUACUGCCUCUGACUUCCCGUGUCUUUAAGUCCAUGAUUGAUGGAUCAAUUAUUUUACUAUUAUUUUAGACUUUUCCCAUUCAAAACCAGAGAUGUCUAACCGGAAAGGAGCACAUUUGUGCUUUAUCCUCUGGCUUUAUGUCCUUCAAAGGCAUCUUUGUCUUACAGUCUGUCAACUAAAUCUUUUUUUAAAAAGUUGACAUUUAUCUCUCCUCUUUGCCUCUUUUUAAAGAACUAUUUUAUUUUUAUUCAUGUGUCUGUCUGUCUGUGGGCACCCACAAAGACCAUAAAGGUGGUGUGUGUUUUCAACCACUGAGCCACCUCUCCAGUCUCCCUCCCCAUUUUUUCUUUAAACAGUUAUGCCCCAAACCCUAGGAAUACAGGUCCUACACUUCGUCGCUUUUCGGUUCAGGCAUUCAACCCAAUGCUCAGAAUACAGCAAUAACAAUAAUUAUUUGUUGACUGAUAAAUAACUAAUUUGUUACUACCCAGUCCUGGUGGGCAGGACCCAAAGAACUUCUGGUCCUACUUCCCAGAGUUAUAAAUAUGUUGUUAACAUACAAAAUAGGAAUUAAGGUUGCUGAUAAAACAGACUCAACAUAGAAAAUAAAUGAGGCCAGAGGCAUUCAUAAAAGUUCAAUAGAUUAGCGAGAAGCAGGGUAGAGAAAUAGAGCCACCACUGUUUGCCUUGACUUUGGAGGAAGGCCAGCAGUCAUCGGAAGCUGAAAUAAGAAAUUAGAGUCUCCCCUCAAGCCUCUAGGAACUAACUCAACACCGUGGCACCAUGGAUGGAGCUUAGCUCACUGGACCUUUGUGUUACCCACAGACCUUUAACAGACAACUCUAAACUCUUGAUGAUGUGUUAAGACACAGACAGACAUCACACAUUUCCUUUAGAAGAGAAAUCUUACACAUCAGUUUAGGACUUCGUUUAAGUGAACUUCACCCAAGUAACGUUAUGUUUUCUGACAACUAGGGAAGAGCUCACUCACUUUUCCUACUUUCUGCCUUUCCUAUGUGGUACCAAGCCCAUAUUUAUAUAUCAAACAGGGAAAAAUCAUAUCCAUUAUUUUAACUUAGUUUCUUUAUGCCUUUGCAGUCAGUUAAGGGAAGACUAUGUAGCUGAAAAGAAAGCCUUCACACAGAGAGGUAUUUUAGUCUCAGAACACGUUACUUUUUUGUAAUUAUGUAUUUUAAAAUGGCUUACAGAGCAGUGGCUUCAUACAGGGCAUUGUCAAAUGUUCUACCCCAACACCAGACCUCCCAUCCCUCCUCCCACUUAAAUCUUUAACCCCUGACUCCCCAUCCCAUCUUCUUUCAUACUAUGAGGACAAAUUAUUUUUUUACCUACUAAAAUAACAUAUGAACCUAUCUGAGUAUGUCAGGAAAAGUAUUCCAUUUAAUUAUUGCCAAUAGAUUUCUCUUAGGGUUCAACUUUUAUAUCACCUUUGGUUAUUCCCUAGACAGAAUAAAAUAGUGCAGUUUGGGAAAGCAAAAUGAAAUUGAUCAUCACAGAUUGAUCAGGUGCAGAUUUCAAAUGAAACUGAUCAUCACUGAUAUUAGAUUUCAAAUGGUACGCCCACCCGAGCUAGCUCUGCUAUGAAAGGCUCAUCUCCUCAAGUAUAAGUGGCUGUGUUCCCUGUGGAGGUUUGAGUUUUAGACACAAAUUAAAGAUUUCCUGAGUAUUGGAACAGUAACUGUAAACAUGAUGCAACAACAAAGAGAACUCUUAAGGCUCACGUGAUUUUUCAAAUGUCCCUGGGGUAGUAGGAUGGCCAAGCAGGUAAAGGCUCUUGCCUGGCAAGCAAGCCUGGUGACCUGAGUUUAGUCAUCAGAGCCCACGUGAAAGUAGAAGGAGAGAACUGGUUCGUGGAGUUGUUCUGUGGCUUCCACCCUUGCCCCGUGGACAAGCCCACAUGCCAGUCUGAUGGAGCCCACUCUUUAGUUGAUGUUCCAUCUUCCCAAGUGUCUCAAGUUAACAACCAAGAGAAGCUAUCAUAGACGGCUUGGCAACUUGGAAGAGAACAUUGUUGCAGAGACGCAUCAGGCUCCACAGGAUCCAUUCUGGCAAUCCGCGAAAUCAAAAGUCUUUUCACAAUAACAGUAGUGAAUUACCACUUGCUCUCUCUGAUGUUCUCUCCCUUGGAGACUGGUUUGCCCCAUAGGCUACUGAGUUUCUGUUGUGGUGAAGUAUGGAAUCCAGAAAGCCGUGUGGGAAGCCCCACUGCCUUCUACCAGCUAGUCCAGAAAUUAUAGAGACGUGUUGCUGAUAAUGAUAUUUUUAUUGAUGAAAGAAGGGAUUUGCUCUCUUACCCAGGCAGGCCUUAUAGUGCCAUCUUCUUCUUCUGCCUCCCAAAUACCAGAAUUUUAGAUAUAAGCUGCUAUGAUAUUUUCUAAAGUUUAAUACAAGGUUACUUUACAUUAUUUUGCUGUCGAAAUAACUUUUAAAAAAAUAAGUGUUUGUAUUGACUUCUAACUUGUCUAUUUUUACUAUUUGAAAGGAAAUUAAGGAGACAUCUGAAAUAUGUUUUAUUUUGUAAGUGGGAAAUUUCAGUAAAUAUUAUAUAAAUACAGUCUGUAAAUGAGGAUUCAAUAACUCUUUAAGAGUUAUUGUCCUAAGUCGAGAGAAAGUUCAACCAACCUUUAUAAUGCUUGGUAUAAUAAAAAUUUAGAUCUUUGCAUUUUAUAAGAGACAGCCAGGAUAAAGCUGAGUUUAGGAUACCCUCUAACUUUUCAAAAUCGUAUUUUGACAGCCUAGCCAUGUUCUAGAAUGCUGUUUUAAGGGGAAAAAUUAAGGAUGUAAGGUAAUUUCAGAAUGUCACUGUACUGUUUUGCAUAAACAAGUAUGCAUGUAACAGUCUUAUUUUUAAUCACACGAAGAAGCUGCAGCAUCUUUUAAAAUAUUUGCAUUACCAUUUUAUCAGUAAAUAGCACAGUGCUUGAUAGAACGUGAGAGUGUUCCCUGAAGGGGCGUAGAAACAAUAUGGAGGACUUGUGGAGAGGGAACUGACAUAAAUAUUGAAUGACCUGUGUGCCUGCCAGAUGUGGGAUUGGGUCUGGGAGUAAUGUCAGAGCCAGAAAGUUAACUUUGUGAUAUGACACAGGCCUGGGCUGUCACUAGACACUGUAUUUGGUCAGUUCUGACUUCUGAACCUUCCCGGUGAGCUCCACCAUGGAAAGGAAUUCCCCAUGCAGAGUCCGCUGAGGAAGAGAGAGUUUUCUAGUUACUAAAUGAUAAGUAACACCAUAGCAACAAGGAUUUAAACCACGUUGUGUAAGGAAAGCACGAUAUGCAUGAUGGUUCAUCUUGUCAACUUGAUGGAAUUAUAGUCAACAUGGACACGGGGCUCUAAGGGAUGUUGGUGAGAGAUUUUUUUCUGGAUUAAGUUAAUUGACCUGGGAUGACCCUCUCUAAAUGACCCAGUUAGCUGGGGCCCAGACUGAAUCCAGAGGAGAAAGCAGUCUGAGGCCAGCAUCUCUCUGUCCCUGCUUCCUGACUGUGGCCACAGGUACCACACUGCUUCAUACUUCAACCAUCACGAUUCCACUGUUAUGCGAGCCAACCAUGAGCCAACGGGAGCCCUCCUUUCCUAGAGCUGCUGUGAUCUGGUAUUUUGUCAUAGCAACAAGGCAGGUAACUAAUACAGUAGACUGUUUAUGUCCACACAAUUUCCUUAUUUCCUUAGGAAAGAUUGAAUCUUUUUGAGAAUCACAUUAUCACCAACUCCUUUUAAGUUACCGUGCUUUAUAGUCAGUUUAUAAUAUCUCUAAGGAAAUUGUUGACCUGGUCAUUCAUAGCAACUAAUUACUAUUUCAAAUGGAUGGAUUGAUAAUACCAUAGGUACUUUAAUAUCAAUUUCCUCAUCUAAUCUUUUUAUGUGCAGACAUAUUAAUGUAGUGGAUCCCAUCUGACAGCCCAUUCAUUUCCUUCAAUGGCAAAAUGAAUAUUUUAUAUCUUUGCUAGACUUAAUGUUAUUGAUGCAAAGAAAAGCUUUCCCCCUAUUUCCUAGGGAUAUCUCAUAGACGAGUCCUUAAAAGAGAGAUUUAAGUUGAUAAGACAUUACUGGUAAGAGUGCCAUGUGGCCAGUGGAAGGGAAUGGAUGUGUGACCUUUUGAAAGAUUUGUUUUUGAUCAUGUGUGUUGUGGGUGUCAGGAGAUGCCUGGAGAGUUCAGAAGAAUGAGUUAUUUUCCAUGAAGCUGGAGUUAUAAUUCAUUGUGGACCACCUGCCAUGGGUCCUAGGAACCAAAACCAGGUCCUCCAUAAGAGCAGAAUGCACUGUUAACCACUGAGUCAUCUCUCUGCCUCAAAGCUUGACUUUUGAUGCUGUCUGUCCUUUAAAACUGGAUCCGUCAUUUAGUUCAUCACCAAUCUCCUAGGGGAACCACAUGGUUCUCUUAGAGGCCAGCACUACCAGGUUUACAAAUGAACUGGCAAGUUCAACAGAGACAUUGUCUGGCUUUGGCAAAGUUCUUGGCAGGAUACGAUACUAUCUGUAGCAUCGUUGACCUGUCAGCAUUGUGAAAGUAUUACCAGUAAAAUCUGCCUUCUAAACUUGAAGCACGAUUUAGCAGUAGAAGCCCUGUUGCCUGCAGUCAUUGGUAGACACUGCCUUAUAUCCAGGCUGUAUAAGAGACGGCUUUGAAGGGCUGAGGGUGAGAUUCAGCACUUACUCCUCUUCUGUGACCUGUGUUCAAUUCCCAGCACCAAUGUAGCAGCUCACAAACACCCGGAACCCCAGUCCCAAGGGAUCUGACACUUUCUUCUGGCCUCUUCAAGGAACCAUAUGCGCAUGGUACACAGGCAUACACGCAGGCAAAAUACCCAUAUACAUUCAUAAAUAAUAAAAAAGUCAAAAAUUAAAAAGAAGUAAACACAUCUUAUUUUCAAAAGGUGCCAGGGAAAAGCUUGGUAGUUCCACAUCUUUAAUCCCAGCUCCCAGGAAGCAGAGGCAAAUAGAUGUCUGUGGGUUCAAAACCAGCCUGGUCUACAAGGGGAGUUUAGGCCAGAUGGGGCUACAAGAAAAGAAAUGCUAUUGAGAGCAAAACAAAGGUUAGUUUUCACUUUGAGCCAUAGGCACGGUUGAUAUAUCUUGUUCUAGAAGGAUUUCAUAAGUUUACAUUUUCAUCCAUACAUAGAAGAAUGAGAGGAUAAAAAAGAGAAAGGAGGAGCAGGAGGGGGGAGAGAGAGAGAGGGAGAGAAAAGAGAGAGAGACAGACAGAGAGACAGACAGAGACAGAGAGACAGAGACAGACAGAGACAGACAGAGACAGAUAGACAGACAGAGACAGACAGAGACAGAAAGACAGAGACAGACAGAGACAGAUAGAGACAGACAGAGAGAGACAGAGAGACAGAGAGAGACAGAGACAGACAGACAGAGACAGACAGAGACAGAGAGACAGA